UUUAGGGAGACCUACUUCCAGGAACCAAAACUCUGUAAAGAGAGAGGUAAAUGAGAAGUCAUCCCAAGGUCGUACGAGAUUGAGUGUAAAAAGCUUUCAAACUAGAUUUGGUUCGGUAAUAGGGGCUAUUAGCUCAGGUGGUUAGAGCGCACCCCUGAUAAGGGUGAGGUCCCUGGUUCGAGUCCAGGAUGGCCCACCUACCGUUGACAACGACAGCACCUUAAUUUGCUGAAGAUUUAAACAAGCAAAUGUGUUUGCUGGAGUUGAACUCCAGUAAAGAACCUUGAAAACUGCAUAGUGAAGAGAAAGAACAAGCAGGUAGAGCUGCUGAUUCUUGCUACUCAAGAGUAGCAAGAAUCAGUAGUUUAUCCAAACAGAAUUAGCGCGAUUUGU
rnacentral:tRNA from 1 species